UACGUAGGGUGCGAGCGUUGUCCGGAAUUAUUGGGCGUAAAGGGCUCGUAGGCGGUUUGUCGCGUCGGGAGUGAAAACCCAGGGCUUAACUCUGGGCUUGCUUUCGAUACGGGCAGACUAGAGGUAUGCAGGGGAGAACGGAAUUCCUGGUGUAGCGGUGAAAUGCUUAGAGAUGACAUAGAACACCCAUUGCGAAGGCAGCUUACUACGCAUAUAUUGACGCUGAGGCACGAAAGCGUGGGGAUCAAACAGG
rnacentral:rRNA from 1 species